UACGUAGGGGCAAGCGUUGUCCGGAAUCAUUGGGCGUAAAGCGCGUGUAGGCGGCUCGAUAAGUCUGCUGUGAAAGUUCAGGGCUCAACCCUGAAAUGCCGGUGGAAACUGUCGAGCUAGAGUACGGAAGAGGUGAGUGGAAUUCCUGGUGUAGCGGUGAAAUGCGCAGAUAUCAGGAGGAACACCAAUGGCGAAGGCAGCUCACUGGGACGUUACUGACGCUGAGACGCGAAAGCGUGGGGAGCAAACAGG
rnacentral:rRNA from 1 species